UAGUAGACUUGUCAAGCUCGUGCGGAUGAAGGGAGCUUGCUCCUGGAUUCAGCGGCGGACGGGUGAGUAAUGCCUAGGAAUCUGCCUGGUAGUGGGGGAUAACGUCCGGAAACGGGCGCUAAUACCGCAUACGUCCUGAGGGAGAAAGUGGGGGAUCUUCGGACCUCACGCUAUCAGAUGAGCCUAGGUCGGAUUAGCUAGUUGGUGGGGUAAAGGCCUACCAAGGCGACGAUCCGUAACUGGUCUGAGAGGAUGAUCAGUCACACUGGAACUGAGACACGGUCCAGACUCCUACGGGAGGCAGCAGUGGGGAAUAUUGGACAAUGGGCGAAAGCCUGAUCCAGCCAUGCCGCGUGUGUGAAGAAGGUCUUCGGAUUGUAAAGCACUUUAAGUUGGGAGGAAGGGCAGUAAGUUAAUACCUUGCUGUUUUGACGUUACCAACAGAAUAAGCACCGGCUAACUUCGUGCCAGCAGCCGCGGUAAUACGAAGGGUGCAAGCGUUAAUCGGAAUUACUGGGCGUAAAGCGCGCGUAGGUGGUUCAGCAAGUUGGAUGUGAAAUCCCCGGGCUCAACCUGGGAACUGCAUCCAAAACUACUGAGCUAGAGUACGGUAGAGGGUGGUGGAAUUUCCUGUGUAGCGGUGAAAUGCGUAGAUAUAGGAAGGAACACCAGUGGCGAAGGCGACCACCUGGACUGAUACUGACACUGAGGUGCGAAAGCGUGGGGAGCAAACAGGAUUAGAUACCCUGGUAGUCCACGCCGUAAACGAUGUCGACUAGCCGUUGGGAUCCUUGAGAUCUUAGUGGCGCAGCUAACGCGAUAAGUCGACCGCCUGGGGAGUACGGCCGCAAGGGUUAAAACUCAAUGAAUUGACGGGGGCCCCGCACAAGCGGUGGGAGCAUGUGGUUUUAAUUUCGAAGCACGCGAGAACCUUACCUGGGCCUUUGAACAUGCUGAGACUUUCAGAGAUGAAUUGAUUGCGUCGGUCUCAG
rnacentral:rRNA from 1 species